AAGUCCGGGGCUCAACUCCGGAGCUGCGGUGGGUACGGGCAGACUAGAGUGAUGUAGGGGAGACUGGAAUUUCCUGGUGUAGCGGUGAAAUGCGCAGAUAUCAGGAGGAACACCGAUGGCGAAGGCAGGUCUCUGGGCAUUAACUGACGCUGAGGAGCGAAAGCAUGGGGAGCGAACAGGAUUAGAUACCCUGGUAGUCCAUGCCGUAAACGUUGGGCACUAGGUGUGGGGGACAUUCCACGUUUUCCGCGCCGUAGCUAACGCAUUAAGUGCCCCGCCUGGGGAGUACGGCCGCAAGGCUAAAACUCAAAGGAAUUGACGGGGGCCCGCACAAGCGGCGGAGCAUGCGGAUUAAUUCGAUGCAACGCGAAGAACCUUACCAAGGCUUGACAUGGACCGGACCGCCGCAGAAAUGUGGUUUCCCCUUUGGGGCUGGUUUACAGGUGGUGCAUGGUUGUCGUCAGCUCGUGUCGUGAGAUGUUGGGUUAAGUCCCGCAACGAGCGCAACCCUCGUUCUAUGUUGCCAGCACGUGAUGGUGGGGACUCAUAGGAGACUGCCGGGGUCAACUCGGAGGAAGGUGGGGACGACGUCAAAUCAUCAUGCCCCUUAUGUCUUGGGCUUCACGCAUGCUACAAUGGCCUGGUACAAAGGGUUGCGAUACUGUGAGGUGGAGCUAAUCUCCAAAAAACCCGGUCUCAGUUCGGAUUGGGGUCUGCAACUCGACCUCCAUGAAGUCGGAGUCGCUAGUAAUCGCAGAUCAGCAACGCUGCGGUGAAUACGUUCCCGGGGCCUUGUACACACCGCCCGUCAAGUCACGAAAGUUGGUAACACCCGAAGC
rnacentral:rRNA from 1 species